rnacentral:rRNA from 1 species
ACGAACGCUGGCGGCAUGCCUAAUACAUGCAAGUCGAACGAACUCUUCGGAGUUAGUGGCGCACGGGUGCGUAACGCGUGGGAAUCUGCCCUUGGGUUCGGAAUAACAGUUGGAAACGACUGCUAAUACCGGAUGAUGACGUAAGUCCAAAGAUUUAUCGCCCAGGGAUGAGCCCGCGUAGGAUUAGCUAGUUGGUGAGGUAAAGGCUCACCAAGGCGACGAUCCUUAGCUGGUCUGAGAGGAUGAUCAGCCACACUGGGACUGAGACACGGCCCAGACUCCUACGGGAGGCAGCAGUAGGGAAUAUUGGACAAUGGGCGAAAGCCUGAUCCAGCAAUGCCGCGUGAGUGAUGAAGGCCUUAGGGUUGUAAAGCUCUUUUACCCGAGAUGAUAAUGACAGUAUCGGGAGAAUAAGCCCCGGCUAACUCCGU